AUGACGUUAUUAUAUAAUUGUUUUGUGUUGGUUUUAAUAAUUGCGCCACAUUUGGGCGGUGUAAGGUCUGAAAAAAGACUUGUACUAGAGAUGGAUAUUGAGUAGGAAAUCAUCAAUCUUAAACAGUCACUGGCCAAGAAAGACGCUGAAAUAUCCUCUCUUCAGACACUUGUGACGGAUCUUCAACAACAAAUAGGGUCAACAUAUACAAGAUGGGGUCGCACUACUUGUCCAGGAAAUGGAACAAACCUGGUCUAUUCCGGCUAUAUGGCAGGUACAUCACAUGACGGAAGUUAACUUGGGCCUGGAGCUGGUGCUAACUAUCUGUGUGUGUCUGAUCAGCCCACCUGGGACCAUUAUUCCGAGACUGCCAACAACGAGAUACGUAUCAUCGGUGUUGAGUAUGAAUUUUAUUCUUAUUCAUACGUGGCCAAUGACCUUCAAGCCUUCUUUGGAUCCGACAUUUACAAUAGCGAGGCACCUUGCUCCGUCUGUCGGUGUACAAGAAGCACCGCUAUCAUGAUACCUGGCCGGAAGGACUGUUAUCCAGGGUGGACCAAGGAGUAUAGUGGUUACCUGGCAGGGGGUUAUCCCGGGUACGAUGAUGCAACCG
rnacentral:lncRNA from 1 species